GGUGGUGUCUGUUAAGAAGCAAGCGGAGUGAAACGCUGAGGAAAUGUUGAGCGGCAAUGUGACAGGGGACAGUCAGGUGCGGAGUAGCUGCCUCAGGAAUAUUUUGAAUAGGAUGGCACUGGAGACUCUACUGCCUUGGAGGAGUUUUUAUGCUAAUUAAGGAAACCACAAGAUACCUCAAUCUUUACUCUCGGCGAAGCAGAGUGGAAAAACAAAACAAAACACCUCCCACGGACAGUAAAAGCAAACUCGUAAAAGACUCAGAAACUCAACUGGGAAAAAAGCUGUUAAUUCAUUGACCAGCUGAGUAAUAUCCAGCAAAAUCUUCCAAGAGACAAUGAAUUUAAAAUUUGGGACCCAAAGGUCAGGAUCUGAGAUCUGUAUAAGAAUGGCAGUGGAAUUAUCAGAAGGGCCUUUGAUAAUGAUGCUUCCUGCUUGUCCAAAACAAGGGUACUCAUGCAGCAGGAAAGUUGAAUAUGAAUUUUGCCACAAGAAGAUGGUUCUACCUACCUCUGGGCUGCAUGAUGCUGAUGAAUCUGAUUAACGCGGAUUUUGAAUUUCAAAAGGGGGUGCUUGCCAGCAACAGCCCAGGGAUCAUGGAAGACAUUGAUCUCCAGUGCUGGAAUGCUUGCUCCUUGACACUGAUAGAUCUCAAGGAAAUCAAGAUAGAGCACACUGUGGAUUCUUUCUGGAAUUUCAUGUUGUUCCUGCAAAAAUCCCAGCAGCCUAGACAUUAUAAUGUCUUCUUAAGCAUAGCUCAGGAUUUCUGGGACAUGUAUGUAGACUGCUUGCUUUCAAGAUCCCAUGGAAUGGGCAGAAGACAGGUGAUGCCUCCCAAGUAUAAUUUUCCACAGAAGAUAACAGGAGGACUGGAUUUUACAAAACAUGAGUUUUACAUUUAAGAGAACACAGAAAAUACCUCAAGCAAGAUGACACCAACUUGAAAAUUUAACCCUGUGAUCCUAUCCAGGACACCACUUACAAUGAGUUAGGCUCUAAGAAGAUGUUUUUGAUGACCUUGACACUUCCUGAUGCUGUUCUGGUUCCCAGUAAGCAAGACUAUGAGUAUUUUCCAGAAGAACACAGGCGCAGGGUGACAGAAUACAAGAAGUUCUACGAAAGCUUGGAGCUAAGUUUUAACCAGAGGAAUGUAACAAUAAAAAAGAUAAUUCUGUCUGCUGAGACUGAGCUGGAAAGAUCUAGACUGGAGGUGGGAGACCAGUCUGUGACUUCAGGCCUUGACUAAGGCAGUGGCAAUCGGGAUACACAACAAUGAAUGGAAUGAAAAGCAUCAAGGAGGCAGAAUCAGCAGGACCUUAUGAGUGAUUUGAUUUGGUGGGAAAGAGAAGGAAAAGGUAAGGAGGACGGACAGGCUUGAGGAAUUACAUAAGUGGUUGGCACCAUUUGCUGAGACAGGGAUGCUGGAGGGAGAAGCUUGUGUUGAGGCUGGAAAUGAGUUAAAUUUGGGGCAGAGAUUUCUAAGUCACAGGCUUAAAGUAAUAAUUGGAACAGUCUGGGUAAAUGAGAUCACACAGGCAGGGUAUAGAAGAGAGAACAUAUGGAUGUAAAAAUAAAAAUAAUUGCUGUUAUUAUCAUCAUAAGAUGUUUAUGGAGAAAUUGUAAAAACAUUUAACAAAACCUUUUAAGAUCAAAAGCUUAAUAAACUGCUUUGAAGAAAACUAGACCUCCACUACGUCAAGUUAUAGAAUGAACUUAUUUUCCCACUUUACCAAGGAACAUUUCAAAGGGGGAAAGUCCUGCUCCUUUGAUACUUAGUUAUAGGGAAAGGAUCUAACAUUUAUUAUGGUCCAUUAAUGUGUCUGGUACGUUAUAUCUUAAUUAAUCCUCAAAUAUACCAUAUGAAGAUAGAUUAUCCCUGUUGUUGAAACUGAGGCCCUGAUAUCUAACUUGUUAAGGUCACAUAGCUAGUAUAUGGGCUAGCAGGGCUGUCUGAUGCAGAAACACUGGUUCUUUGCACCUUCAUUCUCUGCCUGACUUCUCAGCUGACCACAGAGGCUACUUCUAGCAAUUACUCCAAAGCAGGGGUAGGCAAUUUAAGGACACAGUCCAUGGCAGUAUUACAGAUAGUGGCAGGAUAUGACAUCAACUAGCAGAUUGUGCAGGUUCUCAGAGGGAAAGCAAAUUUGGGCAAGGAAGCUCAGCCAUGAUACUAUGCAAGUGAAAAUGAAAAACUAAUCGCAAUCAUAUUUAUUCUACAAAUAUUACUGUGUGCUUCCAUUGUGCCAUUGUUCUAAGUGCUGAAGAUAUGGUAUUGAAUAAACACAAAAAAUCUCCUGCUUUUAUAAAGAAUUGAUAUGCUUUGGGGGAGACAAUAAGUUAUACAGUGUAUUGCAAGAUAAUGCUCUGGAGAAACGGGAGUAGAAAGUGCUAGGAUGCUUAAGCAGUGGUCGGCAAAAGACUCACAGAGUGGGUAAAAUUUCAGCAGUCUUGAAGGAGGUAAGGGAACAAGCCAUGGAUAAGAAGGGGAAAACUUCCAGGCAGUGGGCAUAGCAAGUGCAGAGGCCCUUAGGCAGGGUAUACCUGGCAUGGUUGAGGAGAUGCUAGGAGGCCAGUGUGGCUGGAACACAGAAGGCUUUAUCAGCUACUAAUGAGGACUUAAAUUUCUACUCUGAACUCAGAGUUGAGAGGGGAGGGACACUCAAGUAUUAAGAUAUAUGUUCUACACUUAAGGAGAGGGAGAGACAAAACAAGACAAAUGAAAUAGUAACAAACAUAAAACAACUGAUAAUUAGGUGAGAAACUCAGACCAAGGACUACACCCAUUUAUGAGAAGAAGGUCUGUGAGAGUGAAAAUGAAUGGGAAGUAUGUCCUAUUGGGGGUUACUUUAUGGUGGAGAGGUAGGAUCUAAAGGUAGGGUAAGAUUUAAAUUCAGAAAAGAGGGGAGGGCAUUCAUUCAAUACAUAUUUAAUAUCCCCUCCUGUGUACCAGGCGUUGUGCUGGGUGCUACUGGGGGAUAAUAGGGGACACUACAGAAAAAAACAACAGAGAAGGUUUCUGCCCUCAUGAAGGUGGCACUAAGCAGAGUACGUGGUACAGAUAAAGUACAGACUAUACAUUGGGAAACCUCGCAAACAGGACAAUAAGUGGACCUGAGGCACUCUGAGGAUGGCAGACCCCUUAGAUACCAUCUAGUUCAGUGGUUCUGAGGCUAAAAAUCACUUAAAGGAUAAUGAUUAAGUAAAUCUAGGGAAGGACCCAGCUAUGUACAGGGUUUUUUAAGAAAAGCUCCUCAGAUGACUGUGAUGGUCACCCAAGUUUGGGGAACACUCAUCUAGUACAGGCUUGUUUUACAGAAAAGGGAACAGGUUUAGAGAGUUGAGUGAUCUGGUCAAUGUAAUGAUAUUAAGCGAGGGAAGCAAUAAGGAGCUACUGCAGAAGCCUGAAAGAAAGAACAGGUGGGACUCAGAGGUAGCAAGGAGGAUGGUAAAGUGGUGUUUAUGGCGAAUGGAGUGGGAAGCGAGGAAGAGGUGAGGCCCAAAGGAUGUGACAUUAAUCCAGGAUUGACUGAGGCAUUGUGGUGACAGGAAAGGAGAGCAAGUAGUUCUUUUUUUUUUUAAAAACAGAGUUUUAAUUUUGUUUUACUCCUUUCUUUCCCUCUCUGCCCUCCUUUGU